AUACCAAGAUAAGAAAGAGGAAAAAACUGAUCAAGAAGUGGAAUUUCUAAGCUGUCCAGUUUCAGGGCUUCUCUUUCUUGGCAGGGAGACCGUGUGAAGCUGUAGCUGUAGCUCUGCUCCGUUCAAACCUCUGCCAAAGGAGAGUUGCCCUGUAGCAGGACCCAGCUUAAGGUUCAUGAUUCUAGGGACCAUUGAUGAUUGUUUCAAGAUUUCAGCUACACUGAAAUUUAGUGUUAUGCCUGCCAAGGGUGAUGCAAAGGUUUACUGCUACGUUGUAACAAGAGCUUUAUUAUAUGGAUGAAGAAUGGUCAUCAGCAGCUCAGUGCCAUCUAUAUCUGCUAACCUCUGAAUUUUUGUUCGUAAAAUCAUGUAUGCUGAAUCAGGUACAUGUAUAUUCAGUAAUCUCAUUGGAAACUUUUCUCCAAGACAUUGCCUUGGAACCUGAAACUAUAAUAUUUUAACAGCAGUCACUGCCUAGUUUUGGAUAAUCCAUUGGUCAUGAUUCAGUGUCAA